rnacentral:rRNA from 1 species
GACGAACGCUGGCGGCGUGCUUAACACAUGCGAGUCGAACGGAAAGGCCCUGCUUUUGUGGGGUGCUCGAGUGGCGAACGGGUGAGUAACACGUGAGUAACCUGCCCUUGACUUUGGGAUAACUUCAGGAAACUGGGGCUAAUACCGGAUAGGAGCUCCUGCUGCAUGGUGGGGGUUGGAAAGUUUCGGCGGUUGGGGAUGGACUCGCGGCUUAUCAGCUUGUUGGUGGGGUAGUGGCUUACCAAGGCUUUGACGGGUAGCCGGCCUGAGAGGGUGACCGGCCACAUUGGGACUGAGAUACGGCCCAGACUCCUACGGGAGGCAGCAGUGGGGAAUAUUGCACAAUGGGCGGAAGCCUGAUGCAGCAACUCCGCGUGCGGGAUGACGGCCUUCGGGUUGUAAACCGCUUUCGCCUGUGACGAAGCGUGAGUGACGGUAAUGGGUAAAGAAGCACCGGCUAACUACGUG